UUCUGGCUCAGGAUGAACGCUGGCGGCGUGCCUAACACAUGCAAGUCGAACGAAGCACUUCUGGUUGGAGAUUCGUCGAAGACCGGAUUGACUUAGUGGCGGACGGGUGAGUAAUGUAUGAGCAACCUGCCUUUCAGAGGGGGACAACAGUUGGAAACGACUGCUAAUACCGCAUAAUGUAUUGAUGGGGCAUCCCGUUGAUACCAAAGGAGCAAUCCGCUGAAAGAUGGGCUCAUAUCUGAUUAGUUAGUUGGCAGGGUAACGGCCUACCAAGACUGCGAUCAGUAGCCGGACUGAGAGGUUGAACGGCCACAUUGGGACUGAGAUACGGCCCAGACUCCUACGGGAGGCAGCAGUGGGGAAUAUUGGGCAAUGGGCGGAAGCCUCGACCCAGCAACGCCGCGUGAAGGAAGAAGGUCUUCGGAUUAGUAAACUUCUUUUAUGAGGGACGAAGGACGUGACGGUACCUCAUGAAUAAGCCACGGCUAACUACGUGCCAGCCGCCGC
rnacentral:rRNA from 1 species